rnacentral:rRNA from 1 species
AGCGAACGCUGGCGGCAGGCCUAACACAUGCAAGUCGAACGAACCUUUCGGGGUUAGUGGCGGACGGGUGAGUAACACGUGGGAACGUGCCUUUAGGUUCGGAAUAACUCAGGGAAACUUGUGCUAAUACCGAAUGUGCCCUUCGGGGGAAAGAUUAAUCGCCUUUAGAGCGGCCCGCGUCUGAUUAGCUAGUUGGUUGAGGUAAUGGCUCACCAAGGCGACGAUCAGUAGCUGGUCUGAGAGGAUGAUCAGCCACAUUGGGACUGAGACACGGCCCAAACUCAUACGGGAGGCAGCAGUGGGGAAUCUUGCGCAAUGGGCGAAAGCCUGACGCAGCCAUGCCGCGUGAAUGAUGAAGGUCUUAGGAUUGUAAAAUUCUUUCACCGGGGACGAUAAUGACGGUACCCGGAGAAGAAGCCCCGGCUAACUUCGUG